GAUCCUGGCUCAGGAUGAACGCUAGCUACAGGCUUAACACAUGCAAGUCGAGGGGAAACGACAUCGAAAGCUUGCUUCCGAUGGGCGUCGACCGGCGCACGGGUGAGUAACGCGUAUCCAACCUGCCCACCACUUGGGGGAUAACCUUGCGAAAGUAAGACUAAUACCCAAUGAUAUCUCUAGAAGACAUCUGAAAGAGAUUAAAGAUUUAUCGGUGAUGGAUGGGGAUGCGUCUGAUUAG
rnacentral:rRNA from 1 species